AGUUGUAGAAACGUUCUCAGCACUCAAAUUUCGCAUUCACAUUCUCAUUCGUCAAUUAGUUGCCGGCGCGAGCGAAUCGUGAGUGCGGAAAAAAGAAAAUCUUUUCAUCAGCUGGAAAACUGUUCUUCCCGAUCAAAACUGGGAUUCGGGAGAUUUUUGAAGCCCAAAAGCAGGGAACUCCUCACUGAUGGCCACGCGAGGGGCGAAUGUGAUUUGGUUUCGCCAUGGAUUGCGCCUCCAUGAUAAUCCCGCUCUAUUGGCCGCCCUCGCCGAUAAGGAUCAGGGUAUAGCCCUAAUUCCCGUUUUCAUAUUCGAUGGAGAGAGUGCAGGUAACCUUGAACUUACCUUGCACUUUCCUAAGUUAUUACUUCAAAACUUUUAUAUGAGAUAUGGAUAUCUCAUGGAGAUAUAUUUAAAAUAUUAAGAUAAUCUUAAAAUAAUUAAUAGAUAGCAAAACAUCAAAGAUAAAAUAUUAUAUCUAUAUAUAUUUGCUCAUAC
ensembl:ncRNA lncRNA:CR46393 long non-coding RNA:CR46393